rnacentral:rRNA from 1 species
UGCGUAGGCGGGCUAAUAAGUCAGUGGUGAAAUCUCUCGGCUCAACCGGGACACUGCCAUUGAUACUGUUAGUCUUGAGUUCGGUUGAGGUAGGCGGAAUGUGUAAUGUAGCGGUGAAAUGCUUAGAUAUUACACAGAACACCAAUGGCGUAGGCAGCUUACUAGACCGACACUGACGCUGAGGCACGAAAGCGUGGGGAGCGAACAGGAUUAGAUACCCUGGUAGUC